rfam:Asian citrus Psyllid, Diaphorina citri - Florida Strain, whole genome shotgun sequence.
GCCUCGGUGGUGUAGUGGUCAAGACGUUCGCCUGGUAAACAGCAGGGUGUGGGUUCAAUCCCAGCUGAGGUA